rnacentral:rRNA from 1 species
UACGGAGGAUGCAAGCGUUAUCCGGAAUGAUUGGGCGUAAAGGGUCCGCAGGUGGCAGUGUAAGUCUGCUGUCAAAGAAUGAGGCUUAACCUCAUCAAGGCAGUGGAAACUACACAGCUAGAGUACGGUCGGGGUAGAAGGAAUUCCUGGUGUAGCGGUGAAAUGCGUAGAGAUCAGGAAGAACACCGGUGGCGAAAGCGCUCUGCUGGACCUUAACUGACACUGAGGGACGAAAGCUAGGGGAGCGAAUGGG